rnacentral:rRNA from 1 species
AAGUCGAAGGAGAAGCCAUCUUCGGAUGGUGGAAACUGGCGCACGGGUGAGUAACGCGUGGGUAUCUACCUCGGGGUGGGGAAUAACCGCUGGAAACGGCGGCUAAUACCGCAUACGCCUUCAGAGGGAAAGCUACGGCGCCCUGAGAGGAGCCCGCGUUAGAUUAGCUAGUUGGUGGGGUAAUGGCCUACCAAGGCGACGAUCUAUAGCUGGUCUGAGAGGAUGAUCAGCCACACUGGGACUGAGACACGGCCCAGACUCCUACGGGAGGCAGCAGUGGGGAAUAUUGGACAAUGGGCGCAAGCCUGAUCCAGCCAUGCCGCGUGAGUGAAGAAGGCCUUAGGGUUGUAAAGCUCUUUCACCUGCGAAGAUGAUGACGGUAGCAGGAGAAGAAGCCCCGGCUAACUCCGUGCCAGCAGCCGCGGUAAUACGGAGGGGGCUAGCGUUGUUCGGAAUUACUGGGCGUAAAGGGCGCGUAGGCGGUAUGUCAAGUCAGGGGUGAAAGGCCUGGGCUCAACCCAGGAAUUGCCUUUGAAACUGGCAAACUAGAGUCCGAAAGAGGAUGGCGGAAUUCCCAGUGUAGAGGUGAAAUUCGUAG